AGCGAACGCUGGCGGCAGGCUUAACACAUGCAAGUCGAGCGGGCGUAGCAAUACGUCAGCGGCAGACGGGUGAGUAACGCGUGGGAACAUACCUUUUGGUUCGGAACAACACAGGGAAACUUGUGCUAAUACCGGAUAAGCCCUUACGGGGAAAGAUUUAUCGCCGAAAGAUUGGCCCGCGUCUGAUUAGCUAGUUGGUGAGGUAAUGGCUCACCAAGGCGACGAUCAGUAGCUGGUCUGAGAGGAUGAUCAGCCACACUGGGACUGAGACACGGCCCAGACUCCUACGGGUGGCUG
rnacentral:rRNA from 1 species